AACGCACAUUGCGCCCCCUGGCAUUCCGGGGGGCAUGCCUGUCCGAGCGUCAUUUCUGCCCUCAAGCCCGGCUUGUGUGUUGGGCGUGGUCCCCCCUCUUUGGGGGGGGACCUGCCCGAAAGGCAGCGGCGACGUCGCGUCGAGUCCUCGAGCGUAUGGGGCUUUGUCACCCGCUCGGGAGGGACCGGCCGGCGUUGGUCAUCCACUGUAUUUUUCCACGGUUGACCUCGGAUCAGGUAGGAGUUACCCGCUGAACUUAA
rnacentral:misc_RNA from 1 species